CACCGCGGCUAGCUUGGCUGCUCGUGGGGCCUCUCCGGCCCUGUGUGUCGGGAAGAUGGAGCAAGAAGCCGAGCCCGAGGGGCGACCCCGACCCCUCUGACCAAGAUCCUGCUGCUUUCGCAGCCAGGAGCCCCGUCCCUCCCCGGAUUAGUGCAUUCGAGCGCCCAGUGCCCUGGCCCGGAGAGUGGAAUGGUCCCCGAGGCCCAGGACGUCGUGCUUCCGCGGGCCCCGUGAAGGAAACUGGGGAGUCUGGAGGGACCCCCGACUCCAAGCGCGAAAACCCCGGAUGGUGAGGAGCAGGCAAAUGUGCAAUACCAACAUGUCUGUACCUACUGAUAGUGCUGUAACCACCUCACAGAUUCCAGCUUCUGAACAAGAGACCCUGGUUAGACCAAAGCCAUUGCUUUUGAAGUUAUUAAAGUCUGUUGGUGCACAAAAAGACACUUAUACUAUGAAAGAGGAAAAUAUAUACCAUGAUCUACAGAAACUUGGUAGUAGUCAAUCAGCAGGAAUCAUCAGACUCAGGUACAUCUGUGAGUGAGAACAGGUGUCACCUUGAAGGUGGGCGUGAUCAAAAGGACCUUGUGCAAGAGCUUCAGGAAGAGAAACCUUCGUCUUCACAUUUGGUUUUCAGACUAUCUACCUCAUCUAGAAGGAGAGCGAUUAGUGAGACAAAGAAAAUUCAGAUGAAUUAUCUGGUGAACGACAAAGAAAAGGCCACAAAUCUGAUAGUAUUUCCCUUUCCUUUGAUGAAAGCCUGGCUCUGUGUGUAAUAAGGGAGAUAUGUUGUGAAAGAAGCAGUAGCAGUGAAUCUACAGGGACGCCGUCGAAUCCGGAUCUUGAUGCUGGUGUAAGUGAACAUUCAGGUGAUUGGUUGGAUCAGGAUUCAGUUUCAGAUCAGUUUAGUGUAGAAUUUGAAGUUGAAUCUGUCGACUCAGAAGAUUAUAGCCUUAGUGAAGAAGCACAAGAACUCUCAGAUGAAGAUGAUGCGGUAUAUCGAGUUACUGUGUAUCAGGCAGUGGAGAGUGAUACAGAUUCAUUUGAAGAAGAUCCUGAAAUUUCCUUAGCUGACUAUUGGAAAUGCACUUCAUGCAAUGAAAUGAAUCCCCCUCUUCCAUCACAUUGCAACAGAUGUUGGGCCCUUCGUGAGAACUGGCUUCCUGAAGAUAAAGGGAAAGAUAAAGGGGAAAUCUCUGAGAAAGCCAAACUGGAAAACUCAACACAAGCUGAAGAGGGCUUUGAUGUUCCUGAUUGUAAAAAAACUAUAGUGAAUGAUUCCAAAGGGUCGUGUGUUGAGGAAAAUGAUGAUAAAAUCACACAAGCCUCACAAUCACAAGAAAGUGAGGACUAUUCUCAGCCAUCAACUUCUAGUAGCAUUAUUUAUAGCAGCCAAGAAGACGUGAAAGAGUUUGAAAGGGAAGAAACACAAGACAAAGAAGAAAGUGUGGAAUCUAGUUUGCCCCUUAAUGCCAUUGAGCCUUGUGUGAUUUGUCAGGGUCGACCUAAAAAUGGUUGCAUUGCCCAUGGCAAAACAGGACAUCUUAUGGCCUGCUUUACAUGUGCAAAGAAGCUAAAGAAAAGGAAUAAGCCCUGCCCAGUGUGUAGACAACCAAUUCAAAUGAUUGUGCUAACUUAUUUCCCCUAGUUGACCUGUCUGUAAGAGAAUUAUAUAUUUCUAACUAACCCUAAGAAUUUAGACAACAUGAAAAUUAUUUACAUAUAUCAAAGUGAGAAAAUGCUUCAGUCCACAUAGAUGUCUUCUCUUUAGUAUAAUUGACCUACUUUGGUAGCAGAAUAGUGAAUACUUACUAUAAUUUGCGCUGAAUAUGUAGCUCAUCCUUUACCCCAACCCCUAAUUUUAAAUAAUUUCUAUUCUGUCUUAAAUGAGAAGUGUCUUUUUUUAAAAAAUAUAUGUAUAUGGCAUUUACA